UUUCCGGUUUUGGUUCACGUUCGGUUACAGAGUCCGUGUUAGCAUCGGAGCUAGCGUCGAUAAGGGGCGUUAAAGAGGGACAGCGGCCGCUUUGAGGGGAGUUCGUCCCCGGUAUCAGAACCAGAACACGGGUGGGAAAGCCGGUACUGUCGCCGAGGACCCGGAUACGGUUGUCAGACCUGUGGCGUGUGAGAGAGGAGCACCAACCGGAGUUCAAACUGAAUGGCUGAGGGUAGCUCAGACCCACCUGACCUCAAUCCAGAUGAGGCGUCACGUCAAAAAUCAUAUCAGCACAGAUCGCGAAGAGGCCGGCCGAGACACAACAACGACAGAAACCUGAACAGUAAUAGUUAUGAUCCUUCUCAACCAUAUGGACAGUUUCAGCAGGGCUUCAAACCCUUGUUUAGCCAAGAUAAUUCAAAUUAUGCGUCGCAUCAGCAUCCUCCAUACCAUGAAGACGAUGGAGCCAGAAGGCGAGGCAGAGGCAGAGGGAGGAGAGAAGGGAAUAGAGGUGUAAAUGGGAAUUAUGGGGGCUCCAGCUCGUGGUGGCAAAGAGGUGGAGGUGACUCUGGUUCGUAUAGUGGUAACAAUAGAGGUGCGGGUGCCUUUCACUCAGGGCUGCAUCCCAUGGAUGGACCUGAUGGACCCAACUGGCGAAGGGAAGAUGUGAGCAGGAAUUUGGAACAAACCAAUGAAGACCUGGCUAAAAAACCCAGGAAGUUCAGCCAGGAGCAGCGAAGAGGACAACAAAACGAAAAGGGUGCGGGUCAAAGAUCGUAUGACAACAAAGGUGAAAACCCCCCUUCAGACAUCAGGGAAAGGACUCUGAGGAGCAGGACAGGUCCAGACUUUCAACACGAUCACCACCAGAGGAAGUACACUGAGCCAAAGCGACGACAAGGGCCGAUCAAACCGCCAACUCAAGGCGAAGCAGGCCCAGAGAUGGUGGCCGGCGUCCAACAAGACGACUCCUCUGGCCACGGCAGGUCAUCUCAGGAUCCUGCCAGUAAAGCUGGACGAGGCUCAGGACGACACACACCACUGCAGGCAGCCAGAGGAGGGAGGAGGACACAUCAUCAAAACCACAGACCGGGCCAGAGGAGCUGGGACAAGAUGCCAGAGAGCAAAGAGACGCAGACAGGGUGUCUGAUUGAACAGCUGUCCGGGGAGAAGUACGAGUGCAUGGUUUGCUGUGACGUCAUCCGGCUCAUGGCCCCGGUGUGGAGCUGCCAGAGCUGCUUCCACGUCUUCCACCUGAACUGCAUCAAGAAAUGGGCGCGAUCACCGGCCUCGCAGGCGGACGGUACAGACUCAGCCGAAGGUUGGCGUUGUCCGGCCUGCCAGAACGUUGCACUGAAACAGCCGACCUCCUACACCUGCUUCUGUGGUAAAGUGACAAAUCCAGAGUGGCAGCGCAGCGAGAUUCCCCACAGCUGUGGCGACAUGUGUGGGAAGAAACGGAGCGGCCUGGACUGCAACCACCCCUGUAACAUCUUGUGUCAUCCUGGACCUUGUCCACAAUGUCCUGCCUUCAUAACAAAAUCCUGCAUCUGUGGAAAGACGAGUCAGCCAGUGCGCUGUGGCCAGGGUACGGUGCUGCAGUGUGACAAGGUGUGUGGCGCCUUACUCAACUGUGGCGAACACGCCUGUGCCCAGGUGUGCCACAGCGGGGCGUGUCAACCGUGCCAGCUACAAGUUCAGCAGAUGUGCUACUGCGGCGUCACCACCCGCGAAGUCCCGUGUGGCACCGAUAAAGACAGAUCUGACAGUUCAGGACAUUUCUCCUGUCAGAAAAUAUGCGCGAUGAUGUUAAACUGUGAAGCUCACCGGUGCCAGCAGGUGUGCCACCCGGGUCGGUGCCAACCGUGCCCUCGCUCCCCGAGCCUGGUGAAGACGUGUCCCUGCAGCCAGACGCCGCUGACCAAACUCCUGGAACUGGGCUACUCUGAACGACGAAGCUGCUCUGAUCCCGUCCCAUCCUGUGGAAAGACGUGCAACAAACCUCUGGCCUGUGGCUCCAGCGACACCAUCCAUCUGUGUGAGAAGCUGUGCCACGAGGGCAGCUGUGGGCCAUGCUCCCUGACCUCGACUAUCAGAUGCAGAUGUGGCUCCAAGACUAAGGAGGUCGCGUGUGCAACGAUCCAAAAAGAGGAGGAGCUCGUCUUCACUUGUGAGAAGCGAUGCAACAAGAAACGCUCCUGCGGCCGACACAAGUGUGGCGAGCUGUGUUGUGUGAACGUGGAGCACAAGUGCCUCCUGAUCUGCGGCUACAAGCUCAACUGUGGCCUCCACCGCUGCCAGGAGACUUGUCACCGUGGAAACUGUGAGCCCUGCUGGCAGUCCAGUUUCGACGAGCUGACGUGUCACUGCGGCCUCACCGUCUUGUACCCGCCCAUCGCCUGUGGCACGAAGCCACCAGAGUGCAAGAACAUGUGCACGCGAAGACACGAGUGUGACCACCCAGUGUUUCACAACUGCCACAGUGAAGAGAAGUGUCCGCCGUGCACGUACCUCACUCAGAAAUGGUGCAUGGGAAAGCACGAGCAACGCAGCAACAUCCCGUGUCAUCUGCAAGACAUUUCCUGCGGCCUGACGUGUAAUAAAACGCUGCCGUGCGAAAUUCACCGCUGCAAGCGGAUCUGCCACCGAGGCGAGUGUCUGGCAGAAGGCAGCUGCCAGCAGCCCUGCGUGCUGCCUCGUCCAGACUGCGGCCACCCGUGCUCCGCUCCCUGUCAUAAAGGCAGCAGCUGCCCACGCACCACCUGCACAGCCAAGGUGGCUGUACAGUGUGAUUGUGGUCGAAGAAAGGAAACAGUGAUGUGCACAGAGGCCACCAGUUCAUACCAGAGGUAUGCCGCCAUCGCCAUGGCCAGUAAACUGUCUGACAUGCAGCUCGGCGACUCGAUGGACAUCGGGCCGCUCCUCACUAAGAAGGAGAUGAAACAGACCAGGCUUGAAUGCGACCAAGAGUGCGCCACGUUGGAGAGAAACAGGCGUUUAGCCGAGGCGCUGCAGAUCGACUCGUCGUCCGACCCCUUCAACGUCCGAUCUACCUCUGUGUACAGCGACAGCCUCAAAGAGGACGCCAGAAAAGACUUGAAGUUUGUCACCGAGGUUGAAGAAGAGAUCAAGAAUCUCGUUGAGCUUGCUAAUAAGGGAAAACAGCCAAAGAGGAGCCACUGUUUCCCACCCAUGAACCGAGAACACCGGAAGAUCAUCCACGACCUGGCCGAGGUAUACGGCGUGGAGAGCGUGAGCUACGACAGCGAGCCCAAACGCAACGUGGUCAUCACUGCCCAGAGGGGGAAGUCCGUCUGUCCGAACUCGAUGCUGACAUCGCUGAUAGAGCGAGAGACGGCUGCGAGGGCCCCUCCACCCAUCGCUCAUAUCAAACAGCACAGCAGCAACAGUUAGAAGCCGAGCUGCUGCGUUCUGGACUAGUUGGGAGGCGUGAGAGAGAGAUUUAUCGUUGAUGCCGGAGAGGAGUGAGGUGCAAUAGUAAGAGCCGCCACUGGAAGCACCUGGUCAAAGAUGGUUAAAGAAGAACCUGUCAUCGAUUAUUUUGAUGUCCAGGACUAAAAAGACCUCAGGAUCUACUCAUACGAAUUUAGUCUACAUCUGCCAAAAAGCUUGAAUAACCUUUUUUCCAUUUGUGUUCAUCAAAGAUCAAUAAGAAUACCUCCGGCUUCAUGAUAAAAUAAAAUAAUCUUUGGAAAUAUC